rnacentral:lncRNA from 1 species
AAGGAGUUAACCCUCAUUCCUUAGUGAUGUAAUAUAGAUAACAUAGCUAAAAUACAGAUAUUCUCAAUACUGACGUCUCUGCAUUUUAGUUCUUAGUAGUCCAGAUCCAAAUGUGUUUUAAAAGCUCUAGAGAGCCAUACCUUUCAAUGGGAGCUUUUGAGAUUUGAGAACGUAUUUACACACGCACAGAAAUGAUCGAAUAUGUUUAGAACGAGGCAGACCUGCCUGCAAUUAGUUUAACUCAUGAAAACUAUGAAUACAAUUUGCUGCUAAGAUUAUACUCAGGAGUGUAUUUCACGUGGCAGCAAGCUGUGCUAAUUUGAAUGCAAGUUACUAAAAAAAUGUAGGUUCCUUCACCAUGGCAUAUAAAGUAAACCUAAAACAAAGGACACUGAUUGAUUCUGUGUCCAUCAUCCAUAGUAAGCACAUUUCAUUACUGUCACUAAAGGUACAAUUCAAGCACCAUAACCACAACAAUAUGCUGUAGUGGCUAUGAAGUAAAGAGUCCAUAGUUACCCCCCUCACCACCCAUUGUAAGUAGUCAUACACACUUAAAAUGGUUUUAUUUCUGACCUGGCUCACAAUGGGUGCAGUCUUUUCCUCCACUAUGUCUGACAGAGAACUAGAAGCUCUCUGUCUGAGCUAAGCUCAGUGGUGCAGGGCUUAGCUCAUUGGCUGAGCAUGAUCAACUGAAACGCUCAGGCAAUAUCCUAGCACUUAACCGAUGAGAAGAAAUUUAGAAUGGAUUAUGAAACAAAUAAAAAAAAAUAACAUAAUAUGAAAUUCCAUCAAAAAACAUCUUCUAUUAAGCCAGUCUCUGGUUUAAAUAGAUAGUAAAGGAACCCUGACCACUUAAUCCUGACCUCCCAAUGCUUCCAUAUGGACAUCAAGUUUGAUGGUGUCAGGUGAGGAGACAGGGAAGCUGUGGUGAGACCUGUGAGCUACAGGAUAAACUCUUAUGUGGGGGAUUGACAACUAAAUAACUAGAAUAACCCUUUGAUGGUUUCAGACUGCCCCAAGACUGGUAUUUGUAGAAUGAGUCAUCACAUGAGCAUAAAACAUGAGAAAAAUAGAUGUUUGGUGUGUAAACUCUAAGAAAGAUUGUGUAACACAUACAUUUUAUUUAAUUUUAAAUGUAAUGGUAUAUUGUUAUCAAAUGGCUUUCUUUUCAAAAUUUCACUGCCAAAGAAUCCCAUUGCGCUUAGCAGGGAGGUGAAUUAAGCACAAGUACAUGCUAAUCUGGCUUUGGCUGCUACAUAAAUACAUUGCAUAACAAAUUCACAGCCUUUGGUUCAGGGUUCCUGUGGAUGUAAAAAGGCUAACCAUAUUUGUACCAGAAUUAUGAUAAAUGCAUUUGUCAACAAUCUGGGUACUGAGGGGUUAAUAUUAUCUAUCUUUUUUUAUCUGACACAUUUUGCUUGUAUUUGUUAGGAUUAGGAAAAGAGUUAAUUAUUUUUGUAAUCACUAUUCAUCCACUUUCCCAUUGUUCACUUUGCCUCCUCACAAAUCUGUCUUACUUGGUUUUGGAUGGCCCGGGAUAGGGGCGCAUGGGUGUGUGUGACUGUUUUUCAGGUCAAAUGCAUUUGGAUUCUUUCCUCAGUGGAUAAACUUGGUAUGAUUGCACUUCAUCUUUGUUUUUACUGUACACAUACUAUAAGCCAUUUUACACUCUGACUAUGGAGCAAUCCAGCAUUGAAAAGAAUAAAGGGAUGUACAGUAAUAGAAAUUGAUCUUUCUUUUUAUAAAGAGAACUCAUAUUCCUGCCAACCCAAUGAUUUCAAUUUAAAAACUUAAGGGAAAGAUCUGAUCAUGAUAAUGCCAUGACUUGAUAAGAACAUUAUAAUUUAAAAAUACAUAUUUUCUUCCUUUAGAACGUUAGAUUACUGGCCUUUAACAAAAGUUAUAAAAUAACCUUAAAGGAACACUAUAGGGUCAGGAACACAAACAUGUAUUCCUGACCCUAUAAGGUUAAACCACCAUCUAGCCACCCUGGUUCCCUCAUGCCUCCCUAAAUAUUGUAAAAUCUUGCUUGUAUUCAAGAUUUUACAAUCCUUUAGACCUGUCCACUGCCUGCUGACAUCAGCAGAAGUGGUAGCCUGAUCCAAUCACAAUACUUCCCCAUAGGAUUGGCUGAGACUGACAAAGAGGCAGAUCAAGGGCAUAGCCAGCACAAUUCAAACACAGCCCUGGCCAAUCAGUGAAUCAAUGCAUCUCUAUGAGGAAAGUUCAGUGUCUGCAUGCAGAGCGAGGAGAUACUGAAUGUUUGGAUGAAUUUUAGGUAGCCAUAACCCAGGAAGGAUCUCUAACAGCUAUCUGAGGAGUGGCCAGUGAAAUUAUCACUAGGCUGUAAUGUAAACACUGCAUUUUCUCUAAAAAUACAGUGUUUACAGCAAAAAGCCUGAAGGUAAUGAUUCUACUCACCAGAACAAAUUCAAUAAGCUGUAGUUGUUCUGGUGACUAUAGUGUCCCUUUAAGCAAUGUUUUAUGUUCAUUGUGAUUUUGCUUUGCUUCUGGCUAAAUAGCUCAUGCUAGUGCCCACUUUAGAUAUUUUCAUACAAUUCAUACAUUUUUAUAGGAAUGUUACCAGGUUGUGUUUUCCCACAAUACAUAGUUUCUCCUUUGUGUGAUGUAUAAUGUAAAAAAGAGCAACAUAUUUGUUUGUAAGAUAUAGCAAGCUGUUUAAAGUCUCCCAGGAAGCCAUGUUGUUCUCCUGCAUUUGUGCUGUGCCUCAGCUGGGUAUAGUGCGUUUUUCAGUUAAGCCUCAUAAAUUUUUACAUGGUAUUUUUUUUUAUUUUUUGUAAAAUGUUGUAUAUAACUUGAAUUUAUUAUGCACAUAUCCUACCCAAUGGGUAGAACACAAAUAUCCAUUGUUAAUACUGUAAUAUACUGUAAAGCCAAUACCAAUUUUAACAAAAUGGCAUAGAUUUUAUGAAAUGCCUAACAUGUCUCUAGUCCUUUUUUGUAAGAAUAUUUGCAAACAAAUGCAUUCAAAUGAUAGAAAUCUAUGUAUUUUAUUUUCCUAUUAAAUAUCAAUAUAUCACACUGGGGUUCAAAGGGAAAGAACAAAUCUAUGUAUUUUUUAUAUCAUUCUGGAAGUGAAUGUUUGAAUGUCUUUAAUUUCUUCCAACGUGAUUUUUAUGUUUCAUCUGUAUGCUAGUCAUUUUUGUCAUAUUAUUAUUAAGGUGUUGGACCAGUAUUAUUCUUGCACCAUGUUCAAGAUAUUUUUUCAUUAUUAUUUUCUUUUUUUAAUCUCUUGCCUGUGUGGUAUUAAUGAGAACAUUAGUUAAUAUAAAAAUAGUUCUUGAAAUAAAAAAAAAAUACAGGCGAUAUUAGAUACCUGUAUUAGAAUCUGUAUUUCGCUUUUGGCACAAGCUACGCUAUAUAAUUAUUUGUAUUUGUUACAAUAUUAUAGAUUUGCACUGAUUAGGAUCCCAUUCUGAUGUAUCCAAUUGGGUUCAGUAUAACCUAACAUAAUAAACACAAUUUGAUAAUGAUGGAUAAACUUGGCAACUUAGAUGUUUGUGAAUUAAAUUCCCUUUCAGGAUGGCUAAGACUCAUGGGAAUAACGGUAGUUUAAUUUAGAGAAAGAUCUGGAGUGAUUAUAAUGGCCAUUUUUCUUUUAAUUAAAGGUUUAUAACAUGUUUUGAUGUAAGGUUGCAUUUUGAUAUAAAAGAAGUAUCCAUUUUAAUAUAGGCAUGAAGAAGGCUAUUUGUUAAGUGAAAGAAUUGUAUGCAUUAUCACAUUUAGGAAUAGUUGGCCAUAAUAAAGAAGAGCAACAAAAUUACAUCUAGUUGUCAAACGUGUGACAAAGGACCUUUAAAUAGACUGCACGUUUUUUAACAUCCUUUAUGACUUACUUUUUUGAAUGAUGGCCUAGAUUCUAUGACCAGAGAUGAAUUAAAUGUUUGUUACUGAAUAACAUUUCUCCUACUAAAGUCUAAGAGAAAUUAUUAUUCCAUUAGUAGAAAAAUAACCUCCAGUGAGAAUCUGGCCCAAAGAAACCCGAAAGAGUUGCACAUGAUGUAAUCCUGCAGAUUUUGUUAGUGUUAAAACAGCUUUGCCUGUCAAUUGAUUAAUGAUUGUCAGAAAUGAAACCAGCAAAAUAUACCUUCAGCAAUCUUUAAAAAUAGAUAAAUGCAUUUUGCAUUGACAGGGCCAAUUUUGUAUUAUUUAGGUUUAAUUUCUACUUUUUAUGGUGCACUUUGUAGGUUAAAUUACAUACCAGCAUUUUUCUUCUUAAUUGGGCUAAAUGAAUAUAUAUAUGUAUAUAUAAUGUUUAUAUAGUCCACAUGUAUUUCAUCAGCUGACAAAUUUGAUCACGAUUUGUCUCUGUGAGUUCAGUAUGUAUCACAACUCACUUAGAGAGGCUGAUUAAAUCCCAUUGUGCAUUGCUGCAUGUUUUGGCAUUAUAUACAUAAGAAUUAAAAAUGCCAGAGUAAAACCCAAUCCAUAUACAUGACUGCCCAGAUCAAUUUUACAAAUAGGAUAGUGAAAGAUGCUCUCUAUACGGUGGUAUAUAGCUAAAUUUAAAUGGACACUAUACUCACUAAGCACUACAUUAGCUUCAUGUAGCAUUUUGAGCCUGUAGAUCAUGUCUCUCAAGUCUGUGCCAUUUAGGAGUUAAAUUACUUUUGUUUCUGUUUAUGCAGCCCUGCUCACAACCUACCCAGACUGUGACUCACACAGCCUGCAUGAAAUAAUGGUUUCAUUUUCACUGAGAUAACUUAUUUUAGAAAUGUAUAUAUCUGUAAAGUUAGUCACAUCCUGCUCUACACAUAGAGUAGGAGAUUAUAAAUUCUAAAUAAAACAGAAUGUACAAUAAAGAAAAUUUAAAAAUUAGAUCUCUCUUUACAGGAAAUGUUUAGGAAGGCUAUUCAAGUCACAUGCAGGGAGGUGUGACUAUGGCUGUAUAAACAAAGUGAUUUAACUCCUAAAUGGCAGGUUAUUGAGCAGUGCAACUACAGGGGCAUUAUCUAAACUGUUUCAUUAAGCUAAUGUUUGUUUUGUUGACUAUAGAGUCUUUAAGGCAAUCACUGGUGUGGACCAGUGCAGCCACAGAUUCGGUAAAAUGAACAGUGCAUUGUUUUUAUACUUACAGGUUUAACCCAUAUAGGAAAUCCGCAAUGUUGCACUUGAGAUCAUUACUAUUAUGCCAUAUGGUUGGAGAGGGGAGAGCGGCCUGAUUUAAACACCUAUUGAGGUGAUACUGUAUCAUAGCACUUAACAGAAGCACUUAACAUUAAACAAAAAAGACAGCACUUAAUUUUAACACAAUUAUAUAUAUUUUUUUGUAUUUGACUAGUAAUUCUGAACUUUUUAACUAUUGAUGAAAAUGUACUCUUUAAAGUUAUGUUAUGAUUAAAAACAUUUCCACCAUAAAGUGUUAAUCUAAAAGAAACCCUAGUAUCAAAUUAAAGUUUAUGAAAGGGCAUGUACAGCACCCAAGCAUGUGUAUCUGUUAAACUGACACAAUGGGAUCUGUGCAAAAAAUCACUGACAUCAAAUGUCUGGUUUUGGUAAUGCUACAUAUCUAUAUUUUUACUGAAACAGAAUAUACUAUUGCUAAUUUGCCAUACUUUGAUCAUUUUCCUUUCGUUGUGUUUCUUUUAAUUGGUGGUUGACGUUUCUAUUAUUUUAUCAGUUGACUUACUGUUAAUAGUAAAGAACUAACUAACUGAAUAUGACUGUAGUAUAUUAGAAUGUCCAUAUCCCAAAACAGGGAUUCAAUUUCCAGUGCAUUUAGAAAGGUUUGUUCUUCAUCUGUUCUAAAACAUAUGCAGGUUUAAAUGUGUGGGAAUAUUUUAAAUGACUUGUGUAACACUUAUUUUUGUGGGGCUAAUUUCUUACUCAUGAAUGUCUGCAGUAAUUAUAGUAAUUAUUCUUUUUGUCUUUUAACCAAAAUGUCAGUUGCAGUAAUCAUUAAUUUAUUGUGUUUUAUUGAUAAAGUGUGAUAAUUUGUGCAUCUAGGUGAAUUUUGAAUUGUCUUAACAAAACAGUAUUAUAUAUAUAUUUAAUAAUAAAAAGGAAUUAAACUAUGUUUUACGUUAAGCUUACAUGUUUUUAAGACACACUUUGGACCAAACAAAAACUUAAAAUGGUUAAUUCUGCUUUGCACAUUAAAGUAGAGGUAGAAAUUUAGAGUGCUUUCAGAUUAGCUUGCACAAAUAGUAUUAUUUUGUUUUUGAGAAUAUAACAUGUUAUCAAAUAAAUACAUAUAUAUUGUUUUCUUUAAGUGCACCUGUCAUUAAACAAUAUUCUGGGGAACUCCAAAAAGCAUACAAUUUCAAUCUAUAUGUUGCUAGCAAAUGCACAUUUCAAACAGCAUUUUGUCACACAGUUUUAUUUAAAUUUCUAUGUAAUUUCUAUAGGUGAGCAAACACUUACUUUGCAAAUGAUUAGAUACUUGCUCAUGUGCACACAUACAAAGCACCAUUUAAAACCUUGGAGUGCCAUGGGCUGACCAAUGACCAGGUGUUUAGAGAUUUAGAGACCCAAAACUUAGAAAUUAAAAAAUUCUGCUCAAAUGGGGCAAACAGGUUGACAAUUCCUGGACUGUUGAUUACUCCAUUAGAUGUUUGUUAACAAAUUGUGUUCUACAUAAUGUAGCCAUCUUUGUAUGGUAGAGUCUCUAGAAAAUGUUUUAGUACAACUGAAUUACUUCAUAUUUUGUUAGUCUGAUAACCUGUAUAAUGCAAUCCUGUUCAAUCACCCAUAUAUGUUUGUAAUGAAGGAAUCAUAAACUGUUUUAUUUGUUUCUUAACCAUUGUUAUCAUGUUAACAUGCCAGCAAAUAGUUGUUGUUUUUUUAAUUAUUUUAGAAAUGUUGCCUUUUAUAUUGAUAACUAGAUACCAAUCCUGUCACUGAACAUUCAGAAUGGUAAUCUAUUCUUCUGAAUGUAAUAGCCAGUGAGAAGAAAAUAUAUUUUACUACAUAUAAUAGCACUGAUAUUUAUUGAUUUUGUAAAGUCAUUUGUUUUCAAUAUCCAGCUACAGAAAUAUAAUGUUCUUGAUGUAUUUGAACAUGGGUAUUUCAUUCACAUUUGUCACAUCUUUCACUAUAUUUAAUCUCUAACAUUUCAUAUUUGUCAUGUUUUAUGUGUCAUUUUUUUGCAUUUUUAUUAUGUGAAUUUCUGUUCAUUUGUCAAGGAUAAAAUGUAUGCACAUUCAAGUCCAAGAUAUUGAUUGCUGUUUUACCGUAGGCUAGUGCAUUAAAGUUCAGUUGGUUCUGCAAAACCUAAACAUGUUAACUCUCUAUCCUCUCUUUUAUCAAGUACUUAUAUUUGCAGGGAGUGUUUUUAUUUUUCAGUUACUGCAACACAUUUUUUUAUGAGCCUCACUUAAUUGAACAAUGGUGAUUUUUUUUUUAAACAUUUUUGUUAUUGCAAUACUUUUAAAGAAAAAAAAAUAUUAUUCAAAGUGCUGUUGUUAGUUAUAAAUUAAAGGUUUUAUGCUUGUUCUUAAUACCACUGUGUUCAUACCACAGUGAAAAAAAUAAAACAAUAAAAUUGGAGAAUUGCUUUUGUA